rnacentral:tRNA from 1 species
GUCCCCGUAGCUUAACUGGAUAAAGCGCAGGGUUCCGGUCCCUGAAACUGUAGGUUCAAGUCCUGCCGGGGACA